rnacentral:rRNA from 1 species
AUUGAACGCUGGCGGCAUGCCUUACACAUGCAAGUCGAACGGCAGCACGGGAGCAAUCCUGGUGGCGAGUGGCGAACGGGUGAGUAAUGUAUCGGAACGUGCCCAGUCGUGGGGGAUAACGUAGCGAAAGCUACGCUAAUACCGCAUACGAUCUAUGGAUGAAAGCGGGGGACCGUAAGGCCUCGCGCGAUUGGAGCGGCCGAUAUCAGAUUAGGUAGUUGGAGGGGUAAAGGCCCACCAAGCCAACGAUCUGUAGCUGGUCUGAGAGGACGACCAGCCACACUGGAACUGAGACACGGUCCAGACUCCUACGGGAGGCAGCAGUGGGGAAUUUUGGACAAUGGGCGAAAGCCUGAUCCAGCCAUUCCGCGUGCAGGAUGAAGGCCCUCGGGUUGUAAACUGCUUUUGUACAGAACGAAAAGGUUUCUACUAAUACUAGGAGCUCAUGACGGUACUGUAAGAAUAAGCACCGGCUAACUACGUGCCAGCCGCCGCCGUAA